AUGAUGAAGAAGAAGAAACAGGUACCGGAGUGGAUGAACAGUUCUCUGUGGUCCUCCCCCUCCGAUCACCACCGCUUUAGCCCGCCCUCUCCUCCUCCUCCCCCUCCUCCUCCUCCUCCUCCGCCUCCCCCCGUUUCUGUCAGAGAAGAUCCUCCAACUAAUCACAAUGCCUCUCCUUCUUCUUCGUCCGUCGACUCUUCUGCUUCUGCAUCCUCCGCCGCCGAUGACAUCUCCUCUCAGGCUCAGUUGUUGACCGAGUUAUCUAGGAAGAUGAUAGACAUACGCGAGUUGAGGAGAGUCGCUUCUCAAGGCAUUCCUCGUGCUGCCGCCCCUGCUUUACGCCCUACGCUCUGGAAGCUUUUGCUUGGAUAUCUUCCGUCCGAUCGUUCCCUUUGGUCCUCUGAAUUAGCCAAGAAGAGGUCCCAGUACAGACAAUUCAAAGACGACCUCCUCAUGAAUCCUUCAGAAAUCACGAGGAGGAUCUACAACUCCGCUGCUCAUGACAUCGAUGAUGCAAAAUCUGAGACUCGUAUCUUGCUUUCUAGAUCACAAAUCCCUCAUGAGGAUCACCCUUUGAGUCUUGGCAAGACCAGCAUAUGGAAUCAAUUCUUCCAGGACACAGAGCUCAUAGAGCAGAUUGAUCGUGAUGUAAAACGUACUCAUCCAGAUAUACAGUUCUUCUCCGGUGAUUGUCAAUUGGCAAAAUCUAAUCAGGAUGCUUUAAAGAACAUAUUAAUUAUUUUUGCAAAGUUGAACCAAGGUAUAAGAUACGUUCAAGGGAUGAAUGAAGUAGUGGCCCCUCUCUUCUAUGUGUUCAAAAAUGACCCCGAUGAGGAAAAUGCUGCCUUUGCUGAAGCAGACACAUUCUUUUGUUUUGUUGAGCUAUUGAGUGGGUUCCAAGAUAAUUUUUGUCAACAACUUGAUAAUAGUAUUGUUGGAAUCCGUUCCACUAUUACAAGAUUGUCCCAGCUUUUAAAAGAACACGAUGAAGAACUGUGGCGUCAUCUUGAGGUUACUACUCAGGUCAAUCCCCAAUUCUAUGCAUUUAGGUGGAUUACUCUCCUCUUGACUCAGGAAUUUAAUUUUUCUGACAUCCUCCAUAUUUGGGACGUCAUUUUAAGUGAUCCAGAGGGUCCACAGUUUUGGACGGUAAUGUACCCAGCAAGCUGCGGCAGGCCUUCCUUCACGUGCUUCUGUAUGUUGGCUGUCUUUUUGCCAAGCAAUGCAUAUCUUAAUGUCUCAAAUUCAGCUGAGUUCUUUUUAUUCUAUAUGACCUCUGUACUCAUGAUAGCAACAGUGUGUUUUGAAACACAUUGUGCAUCAUCAUUUUAUACUCUGGAUCCUGCUACCCAUUAUAGUCAUGUUGUUGCCAGCAUCAUAACAUGUACGCUCUCAUUGAGGAGGCAUUUCGGUUUUGUUUGGUAAAUGGCUUUGAUUGGCCUUUGCCAUCUAUUGUCCAGUGGAAGGAGCUGAGAAGCUACUGCCCCCAAGAUAUGAUGUUGGAAAAGGAAACACUCCUCAGAAUAUGCUGCGCAAUGCUAAUUCUCGUCCGUAGGCGCCUCCUAGCGGGUGAUUUCACUUCUAACCUCAAGUUGCUGCAAAGUUAUCCUUCUACAAACAUAAGUCAUUU